UGAUCUGGAUUCCUGGGCAAGCAGCUGGACUAAUAGACAGACGCCAUGAGGCUUCUGCUGUUCCUGGGGUCCCUGCUGGGAAGCCUGGAGUCAGUACUUUUGACUCCACCUUGGAAAGCCCCCAAGGUGCAUAAUCACAGAGCGGACGAGCACACAGUGGUUCUCACUGUCACUGGGGAGCCCUGCUACUUCCCUUUCCAGUACAACCGGCAACUGUACCAUAAAUGCACCCACAGGGGCCGGCCUGGCCCCCAGCCCUGGUGUGCUACCACCCCCAACUUCGAGCAGGACCAGCAAUGGGCAUACUGUCUGGAGCCCAAGAAAGUGAAAGACCACUGCAGCAAACACAGUCCCUGCCAGAAGGGAGGGACCUGUGUGAACAUGCCAGACGGCCCACGCUGCAUCUGUCCAGAACACUUCACUGGGAAGCACUGCCAGAGAGAGAAGUGCUUUGAGCCUCAGCUUCUCCAGUUCUUCCAUGAAAAAGAAAUAUGGCAUAGGCUUGAGCCAGCCGGUGUGGCCAAGUGCGAGUGCAGGGGUCCUGAUGUCCACUGCAAGCUGGUGGCCAGCCAGGGCUGCCACACCAACCCGUGCCUCAACGGAGGCACUUGCUUCCAGGCAGAGACUCACCGCCUGUGCCGUUGCCCCACCGGCUACGCUGGACGCUUCUGCGACGUGGACACUGAGGCGCGCUGCUACCACGGCCGCGGGCUUGACUACCGCGGAGCGGCCGAUGCUGCGCUCUCGGGCGCUCGGUGUCAGCGGUGGGCCUCCGAGGCCAGCUACCAGGAAGUGCCUGCAGAGCAAGCGCUGAGCUGGGGGCUGGGCAACCACGCCUUCUGCCGGAACCCGGACAAUGACACCCGCCCGUGGUGCUUCGUGCGGAGCGGCGACCGGCUAAGCUGGGAAUACUGCCGCCUGGCGCGAUGCCAGGCACCGGGCCUGGCGAUCCCUCAGAUCCUGCCUCCCACCCAAGUCCCCUCUGGCCGUCCGACCCUUCCCGUGCCCUCGCCCUCAGCGUUGCAGAAGCCCCAGCCCCCGACCCCAGCCUCGAGCGCCACGCGGGAGCAGCCCGCGGCCGUGCCCAGUUCGCGCUGCGGACAGCGGCUCCGGAAGCGGCUGUCCUCGCUGAGCCGCGUCGUCGGGGGCCUGGUGGCCCUGCCCGGGGCGCACCCCUACAUCGCCGCCCUGUACUGGCGCCACAGCUUCUGCGCGGGCAGCCUCAUCGCCUCCUGCUGGGUGCUGACGGCGGCUCACUGUCUGCAGGACCGGCGAGUCCCCGCCCGCCCGGCGCCCGCGGGGGACCCCAGCUCCUCUCUCCCGCUCGCCCAGCUUCCGCGCGACGCCCGAGCCCGCGUCCCAGCUCCCGCUCCCUUCCCCGGCGCCCCAGGACCGAGCCGAAACCCAGGGAGGGGCUCGGGGGCAGGAGGCCUGUGGCGGGCUCUGAGCGCGCGCCCCCGCACCCCCCGCCCGCAGGCCGGCGCCGGGGGAGCUGACGGUGGUGCUCGGCCAGGACCGCCAUAACCGGAGCUGCGAGCAGUGCCAGACGCUGGCCGUGCGCGCGUACCGCCUGCACGAGUCCUUCUCGCCCGUCACCUACCAGCACGACCUGGCGCUGCUGCGCCUGCAGGAGACGGCGGACGGCCGCUGCGCGCUCCCGUCGCCUUUCGUUCAGCCGGUCUGCCUGCCUAGCGGCGCUGCCCGCCCAGCCGAGGCCCAGGCCGAGGCCGCACUCUGCGAGGUGGCCGGCUGGGGCCACCUAUUCGAGGAAAUCACUGUGCCAGCAGCGCCGUCUGGUGGCAAAGAGGAGAACUCCCUCUUAGAGCACUACCUGCCUCUCUGGAGCAGUCUGGGAGUGGUUGUCACCCAUGGCAUUCAGGCCCGAUAGGAAGAGUGGAGAAUGGACAUACAUGGUGGAUUACCACACUGGCUUCUGGAAGAGGCAGCAAGAUGGGGAUUCAGAAGUAUGGGCUCCAGAUUACACCAGGAUUUUCAUCUUACCUCAAUGGUCCUCAAAAGAUGCUUGUUUAAACCAUUGCCUCUGGCGGGGCACCUGGGUGGCUCAGUUGGUUGAGUGUCUGCCUUCAGCUCAGGUCAUGAUCCCAGGGUCCUGGGAUUGAGCCCCACGUUGGGGCUCCCUGCUCAGCAGGGAGACUGCUUCACCCCACCC